GGAGUACCUCUAUUUGAAUUACUCGUAGACUCUGGAGAAGACAUGACGUUGUUCGUGGCCCCGAGAAGAAAACGGUAAGCCACUUUGCUGGCUGAUAUGAUCUCUGUCUUUGCUUGUUUGAAACGAACUGCUGUGUUUCCAGCUACUUCCAAUGCAGCAUCACCAGCAUUGGCAAACCGAUUAACCCAACCUGGAAGCUUUGAUACAUUGAGCAUCUCACAGAACUGAUCACAAAAGUGGUUACAGUUUCUUGAUAGCAAGUC
rnacentral:misc_RNA from 1 species